rnacentral:rRNA from 1 species
UGAGCAAUCUGCCCUUCUCAUCGGAAUAACCAUUGGAAACGAUGGCUAAUGCCGAAUACGACCUCCUUUCGCAUGAUCGGAGGUGGAAAGCUCCGGCGGAGAAGGAUGAGCUCGCGGCCUAUCAGCUAGUUGGUGUGGGUAAUGGCCCACCAAGGCGACGACGGGUAGCCGGCCUGAGAGGGUGACCGGCCACACUGGGACUGAGACACGGCCCAGACCUCCGUAGGGAG